GAUGAACGCUGGCGGCGUGCUUAACACAUGCAAGUCGAACGAAGAACUUUAGUUGCUUUCUUUCGGGCCUGAUUAUUUUGUGCCUGAGUGUCGGGCGGGUGAGUAACGCGUGGGUAACCUGCCUUGUACUGGGGGCUAACACUAGGAAACCGCAGCUACUCCCGCAUAAGCACACGGCCUCUCAUGCUGCAGUGUGAAAAACUCCGGUGGUAUAGGAUGGACCCGCGUUGGAUUAGCUAGUCGGUGAGGUAACGGCCCACCAAGGCGACGAUCGAUAGCCUAGCUGAGAGGGUGACCGGCCACAUUGGGACUGAGACACGGCCCAAACUCCUACGGGAGGCAGCAGUGGGGAAUAUUGCACAAUGGGCGAAAGCAUGAUGCAGCGACGCCGCGUGAGCGAAGAAGUAUUUCGGUAUGGAAAGCUCGAUCAGCAGGGAAGAUAAUGACGGUACCUGACUAAGAAGCACCGGCUAAAUACGUG
rnacentral:rRNA from 1 species